AACCACACUAUCAAUGAAUGGAUUCACCCGUGAGAUGAUGUGACUGUUUCAUCUAGGACGAGGACAUAUCAUCCUAUUACCAGCCAUCGCACGAAAUUAAUAGGGUGCCACAUCCUCAUCCUAGAUGGAACGACCACGUCAUCUCAAAAGGUGAAUCCAUACAUCGACAGUGUAGUU
rfam:Oryza sativa Japonica Group DNA, chromosome 2, cultivar: Nipponbare, complete sequence.